UACGGGAGGCAGCAGUGGGGAAUCUUGCGCAAUGGGCGAAAGCCUGACGCAGCCAUGCCGCGUGAAUGAUGAAGGUCUUAGGAUUGUAAAAUUCUUUCACCGGGGACGAUAAUGACGGUACCCGGAGAAGAAGCCCCGGCUAACUUCGUGCCAGCAGCCGCGGUAAUACGAAGGGGGCUAGCGUUGCUCGGAAUUACUGGGCGUAAAGGGAGCGUAGGCGGACAUUUAAGUCAGGGGUGAAAUCCCGGGGCUCAACCUCGGAACUGCCUUUGAUACUGGCAAUCUCGAGUUCGAGAGAGGUGAGUGGAAUUGCGAGUGUAGAGGUGAAAUUCGUAGAUAUUCGCAGGAACACCAGUGGCGAAGGCGGCUCACUGGCUCGAUACUGACGCUGAGGUGCGAAAGCGUGGGGAGCAAACAGGAUUAGAUGCCCUGGUAGUCCACGCCGUAAACGAUGGAUGCUAGCCGUCGGGCAGUUUACUGUUCGGUGGCGCAGCUAACGCAUUAAGCAUCCCGCCUGGGGAGUACGGUCGCAAGAUUAAAACUCAAAUGAAUUGACGGGAGCAAGGGCGAAUUCUGCAGAUAUCCAUCACACUGGCGGCCGCUCGAGCAUGC
rnacentral:rRNA from 1 species